rnacentral:rRNA from 1 species
GAUGAACGCUGGCGGCGUGCCUAACACAUGCAAGUCGAGCGAACCCUUCGGGGUGAGCGGCGGACGGGUGAGUAACGCGUGGGUAACCUGCCCUGUACACACGGAUAACAUACCGAAAGGUAUGCUAAUACGAGAUAAUAUAUUUUAAUCGCAUGGUUAAGAUAUCAAAGCUCCGGCGGUACAGGAUGGACCCGCGUCGCAUUAGCUAGUUGGUGAGGUAACGGCUCACCAAGGCGACGAUGCGUAGCCGACCUGAGAGGGUGAUCGGCCACAUUGGGACUGAGACACGGCCCAGACUCCUACGGGAGGCAGCAGUGGGGAAUAUUGCACAAUGGGGGAAACCCUGAUGCAGCAACGCCGCGUGAGUGAUGACGGUCUUCGGAUUGUAAAGCUCUGUCUUUAGGGACGAUAAUGACGGUACCUAAGGAGGAAGCCACGGCUAACUACGUG